rnacentral:rRNA from 1 species
AUACGGAGGGUGCAAGCGUUAUUCGGAAUCACUGGGCGUAAAGGACGCGUAGGCGGGUUGGCAAGUCAGAUGUGAAAUCCUACAGCUUAACUGUAGAACUGCAUUUGAAACUGCUAACCUAGAGUAUGGGAGGUGGAGAUGGAAUUAGUGGUGUAGGGGUAAAAUCCGUAGAUAUCACUAGGAAUACCGAAAGCGAAGGCGAUCUCCUGGAACAUAACUGACGCUAAGGCGUGAAAGCGUGGGGAGCAAACAGGAUUAGAAACCCCAGUAGUCC